UACGUAGGCAGCAAGCGUUGUUCGGAGUUACUGGGCGUAAAGAGUAUGUAGGCGGUUGCGUAAGUUCGGUGUGAAAUCUCCCGGCUUAACUGGGAGGGUGCGCCGAAAACUGCGUGGCUUGAGUGCGGGAGAGGAGAGCGGAAUUCCUGGUGUAGCGGUGAAAUGCGUAGAUAUCAGGAGGAACACCUGUGGCGAAAGCGGCUCACUGGACCAUAACUGACGCUGAUGCACGAAAGCUAGGGGAGCAAACAGG
rnacentral:rRNA from 1 species